UCUACAAAGAGAUCACCUCACUUGGACACAAAUCACCUAUUACUAAAAGCCGAAGCUUUAUAUAAACUCCAACCCUUUGGCCAUAGUGGAACACCUGAAGUGCUAUAGAUGCCGGUUCGCAGGUGUUGUACUAUUUCAAUCUUAAGCUGUCUAACAAUUUACAAACUCGGUUAUGUAGCAAUGUCCUUGUUCUUGGCGACCAUGGUGGGCUUUUGUUUCAUUUUGGGCAUAUCUGACUGCCAUUUUGGCAUGUU